GCCUUACCUUUUUCUCCCUCCUGAAUGGAAGGUAACAGUGUCACUCACUGCAUUUCAUAACGUGCUAUCUAUCUUGACAACUCUGCCUACUGCAGGCUGCAGCUGAAAGAAAUGAACAGAACAAGGGGAAAUAGUUGUCCUUGGACAAGAAACCUCAGCCCCAUUGCACCGGAUGGUAUGGUCGACCGAUCGAAAGCGCGGGAUACACUGCUAGCUGCAUCUCGUCAGGUCCAUCCGUCCAUCCUAGAUUAACUGAAGAGGAGAUGAGCCUAGCAUGGAGGAUGGAAGCCGCUCAGACUAGCCAAGGAGGCUGCCUGCGGGGACCGCACGCGGUGGAGGCGGGGCCACGCAACGUCCGCAGCAGGAGGCCACAGGCAGCUCAUCCUUGGCUACCGAAGCAGAGCUUCCAUCGCCAUGCCAGGGAUCGGUUUCAGAUAAGGGGCCCGCCCGGACUAGCCAAGGAGACUGCCUGUGAUCGAGGCCACGAGGCGAGCAAUAAAACGUGCACAAGGUUUUGCCCGAGCCAAGCCAAGCCAAGAAGCCACAGGCAAGUCAUCCUUGGCUAUCUGGACAGACUCUUAUCGCCACUCUCUAGCACACUGCACACACACAAAUCUGUGGCCUUGGAUUGGAUGCAACGCUCUGCGUGCCCUUCGGCUAUUUAUACUGUCCAAGUACAGAAACGAGCUGGUGGAUCCAAAGCUUUUCUUCCAUGACAGAAACGGCCGCAGGUUGCAGCAUCGAACAUAUCCUCAGCUCCUCUCUCUCUCUCUCCUUUUUUUUCUCCUUGAAAUGUGCACAUCCAUCCAGAUUACGCAUGCCCAUAUUUUCAAGGGAUCCCUAUUUUCAAUCAUUCAGUGGUGUGGUGCACCUUAUCGCCUGCCGAAAUUAGAAAAACCCCGGGACCGGGAAUAAUAUGGC